rnacentral:rRNA from 1 species
UACAGAGGGUGCUAGCGUUGUUCGGAAUCAUUGGGCGUAAAGGGCGUGUAGGCGGUUUGUUAAGUCAUGUGUGAAAUCCCUCGGCUCAACCGAGGAAAGACGCAUGAAACUGGCAAGCUAGAGUACCGAAGAGGGGGGUGGAAUUCCCGGUGUAGCGGUGAAAUGCGUAGAGAUCGGGAGGAAUACCAGUGGCGAAGGCGGGUUGCUGGGCUGACACUGACGCUGAUGCGCGAAAGCCAGGGGAGCGAACGGG